AUUUUGGACAAUGGGGGAAACCCUGAUCCAGCAAUGCCGCGUGUGUGAAGAAGGCCUUUCGGGUUGUAAAGCACUUUUGUCCGGAAAGAAAACCUUUGCACUAAUACUGUGAGGGGAUGACGGUACCGGAAGAAUAAGCACCGGCUAACUACGUGCCAGCAGCCGCGGUAAUACGUAGGGUGCGAGCGUUAAUCGGAAUUACUGGGCGUAAAGCGUGCGCAGGCGGUUCGUUAAGACAGAUGUGAAAUCCCCGGGCUUAACCUGGGAACUGCAUUUGUGACUGGCGAGCUAGAGUAUGGCAGAGGGGGGUAGAAUUCCACGUGUAGCAGUGAAAUGCGUAGAGAUGUGGAGGAAUACCGAUGGCGAAGGCAGCCCCCUGGGCCAAUACUGACGCUCAUGCACGAAAGCGUGGGGAGCAAACAGGAUUAGAUACCCUGGUAGUCCACGCCCUAAACGAUGUCAACUAGUUGUUGGGUCUUCAUUGACUUAGUAACGUAGCUAACGCGUGAAGUUGACCGCCUGGGGAGUACGGUCGCAAGAUUAAAACUCAAAGGAAUUGACGGGGACCCGCACAAGCGGUGGAUGAUGUGGAUUAAUUCGAUGCAACGCGAAAAACCUUACCUACCCUUGACAUGGUCGGAACCUGGCUGAAAGGCUGGGGUGCUCGAAAGAGAACCGAUACACAGGUGCUGCAUGGC
rnacentral:rRNA from 1 species